ensembl:lncRNA
UUGUUGUGCAGCCGGAGCCUUCUGGUCCCAACGAGCAUCCGGUCUCGUCCCCCCUCACCUCUGGACUCUGGAGUGAAAACCAAAGACCCGCCUCCCACGACAGGAAGCCGUCGGGUAAAAAAUGUCCUGCUUAUUUACAACACGGAAGCUCGGUGACCACCAGGCAGAAACCGGGACACGUUUCUGUGAUCAAAUCUUCCCGGCGGGUGACAAUGAGUGGAAGCCCUCCAGCGAGCCGACCCGGCACGCUCGCCCCGUUUGCCAAAGAGCCAUUGUCUUAUUGUUGCUUUACACAAUGUGACUUGUUAAACCUGCAAAUGAACUCGCAUUGUAACAACGGCAUCUGGUCCCGGUUCACUUUCUUCGGGAUCGCCUCCGUAAUGGGGACGAAUGAGCCCGUCGCCGAGGAGCUUGAGGUGUGUCUGCAGAGGAGGUUCAAUCGGAUCUUUUUACAUUCCGGUUGUCGCGUCACACUUUGCAAUCGACGCGUCUCCCGUCACGUUUUGCACUGGGCAGAAAGCGCCGCUCGCAUCUGGAAAAGGACGGACGGACGGGAGGAUCAACCCGCCGCCGCCCAUUUGAGAAGAAGCGAGAUGAUCUCGGCUGCAGCGCAGUCGCCACGUCGGUGUUCACGCCACCUCUCCAGGUCAGACAGCGCAGAGCGGAUCCCGUCACGUCUCACGCAGCUGUCUGCGUAAACUCCGCCGCCGCCGAGCCCCUUCAGCGGACACAGAAGCAGAUGAGGACCGAAGUGGAGGACAGCCGGAGGACGGCCGGUCCUCCUUCCUGCGCCCAGAACCAUCGAGCGAGCUCCUCCGAGGUGUAGUUAGCUCAUCCAGCCGUGUGCAUGAUGGAUGAUCCCAGGGACGCGCCGGUUCUGACCCAGCUUGGAAUCAGCAGCAGUGUCUCCCCCGCGUUCAAAUCAGAUCUUUAAAUAAACCACAGCCACGUAAACGCAGCGAGCGUCAUUCACAUAAAAAAACAGUCGUCCUUUGCUAAAAAGACAAGCGGCUUCAGACCGUUUUCACUCCUUCUGAACACAGAGACGUUGGACAAUUCUUAUACUAAGACUACGACGAUAACGCCUCGAGGGAGGACGUCAGGUUGCGUGCUGUAAAGACAUUUGGGUCAAACAAGGACACGCGUGUUUGUGGCGUGUGGAAGCUUCAUCUCGCCACCUUGAAGGUGUUUGAUGCAGGAACCCUGGGGAGUUAGAAGGUACGAGCGCAGCACAGUGUUUGGUGAUGUCGUUGCGGCGCAUCCCGCAAAACCCGCGGCAUUGUUGUUGACAGUCGGCGACGAGGAAGUCCGGGGCACUGAGGCUCUGCUGCAGCUCCUCGCUCGCACUCGGUCCGUUGUUCUUCCUCUAAGUGAAUUAAAGCACGAUAUCCACCGCAUUCAGGGCGCCGCCGCUGCUGUUUCCAAGGUAACCACCAACUGGCAUCCCGGUGAACCUCAUCAUCACAAAGCAACAUAAACAUCCUUACAUGGUUUUUUUAUUUCCAAUUAAUGUUACCCGCCGCCGUUAAUCACACCGUUACCCCCCCCCCCGGGACCUCUGGGGGUCUGAGGAGUGGAUUCACCAUCACCAUUGCUUUAACGGGACACUUUUUAUAAUCAACUCCUGCAGCUCGCUAAUCAUUUUAAUGCUCUGUUUUGCUGCUUUAUUGUCUCGACAAUCAUUCCGAAGAUGCGUUCUUUUAUCUGUGGACCGAUCACGCGCCGGAGGAGCGUCCCUCCCCCCGAAGGCAGGAACACAAAGCGCACAAGAAUCUGAAGGUCUGAGCGCUGAGCUGCUACCCGACGCCACGUAGCGCUGCACAUCUCGCUCCUUCGCCCCUUCACUGUCUCACUCUUUACCCGGCGUCGCUCGGCGUGGCCGCGCUGACGCAGACGGAUUUGCGUGGCAGACAGUUGGAGGCCCGAGGACGGGAGGAGAUUGCUUCACGAGGCGUCCGGGCCGCGCUGGAUGUCUGGAGGGUGAUUUGCCAAAAAUCUGUCAAAGAAAAAGUUCUGCAGUGGUGAUUGAGCAAGUCUCGCCGUGAGCGUUGGCGUAAUUUACUGAGAAGACUAUUAUUUCAGUUCUAUGUACCUUUGCCUCAAAUAGCAAUGUUUUUUUCUGGAAAUGUCAUUCAGGAUUAAUUGGCGUUAAUGGAUUAAUAUUUGAUUUAAAAGUAGUAACCAUGCAAACAGUAUCGACAAAUAAGCUUCUUUCUGCAGCUUUAUUCCCUUUACACAGUAGCAGCUAAAACAUUUAUUCUGAACCUCAACUUAAAGAAAUCUUCUUUAAUCUAAACUACAUAACAUGUUUUAAUAUAAAACUAAAGCCAUUUGCAACUGCCAGAGGCUUAAUGUUGAAUCCGGUUUGUUAUAAAAAAACAAGUUGCAUCAUAACAGGCAGCUACCGUGUAGCAGCAAGUCCGCAUCUAUAAAUCAGUUCUUUUGUUUCCUGACAGAAGGAACACUUCUCAGCAUAAACGCUCCGCUCGGUAGCCGCGGUAUUUGUUCUAAAUGUUUGUUGGUGCAUUGAUGUUUUAUUGGUGUUUAUAAGAAGCGGUGCUCCGUAGUUAAACACCCGCUGUGUGCCAGGUACCACUGACUGUGUGCUAGUUAGCUUAGCAACAACUGCCAAGCCGUUUAUUGUCCGUUUGUCAUCAGACGUCGGGUAAUAAAGUGGCGCUGGCCUGGCGGCUAACUUAGGUGGCUCGUGAUUGGCCCGGGAGGGUGUGUGGGCGGGGCCUCGGUGCUGUGGCUCCCGGCGCACACGAUCACAAACUGUCAGACUCUCCACAUCUGCAGAAGUUCAGGAGGCUGCCAACGCAGUGACGUAAGCGUCACUUACCUUUUAUUUUAAUUAAUAUACUUAUUCUCCAUCAGAAACUCCCACGUUCCGUUAAAAAGAAGAUUGUCCAGGUAGACUCAUUGUUUACAUGUACGUGUGUGAGAUAAACUUCACUUCACAUCACCUCCCGCCACUGUACGUUUGAUUGACAUGUGAAUAGAGCUCAAAAACACCACGGAGAUUAUCUCCUAGCAACACGGAUGCAAACAAAACAAAACAGGAAUAACACUGUGUAGCUGUGGUGUCAUCAAUACGACUACAUGCGCGUGUAUUCGCACAUCACACAAUGCGCCAGGAGCCACGAUGAAAGCGCUUUAUUUUCGCUGGAAUUUGGAAACAUAUUAUUCAUUUUCACUGCAGCAUCUUUGGACGAAAAGCUUCAGACUGUUCUGAUCUCGGCUGGAAUCUCUAAAGUGAAACUGGUAGUCCGGUGCGGCACGCACUUUCCCACAAGUUCCCCAUAAAGUGGAGAAUGUGCCUAAUCCCGUGCAGAGUUAUGACAUAUGGUCGGUGGCUUAAGCGAUCUGGGGCCAUCUUAAGAUUGAGCUGGAAUGCUAUUCCCGAAGGGGAGAGCGAAGGUAAAUAAAGGAGACAGUGCUCGGCAGAUAUGGGAAAAUAUUGACACCACUGACCUCCGUGCUUAACUGAUUAAAGGCGGUAACAUCUCGCAGCUGUCUACUCAACAACUUUUAAAAAAGGGAAACCACAUAGGACCCCUAAAAGUGUGUUUCUUACGCCAAUGAUGCUCACAUGAUACACACACAACUGACAUCCUGUGUUUUGGUAGGAUGGACGGAAUAAAAGGGCAGAAGAGAGAAGAAGAAGGAUUUUAAAUGUAAAAACAAUAAAGCCGCUGUGAAGGAUUUAGUGUCAUUUAAUGAAAACUCUACAAAGCGCGAUGAAUAUCAGAGGCGGGGGAGUGAUUCUAAAAGAUACAUUUGUGAGAAACACUGAGCAAUCGUUGCUUCGUUUUCCGCGGUUGAAUCGUCCUCAUUUCGCUGUGUUCAGAUACGGUUGGUGAAAACAGCCGCGCUAAAGUUAAACUGCAACCAUGUGUCUACACGCAUAUGGGCAUAUGUGAUGCUUUUACUCGCUGCAAACUGUCAUUGGUGGGGAUUCAUUCAGACAGAAGUGGAUUCGAUUCGACGCAUUUGAGCCGCUGUCGCUUUGCAUCGAAGCUCGUCACGUGAAAAGCCUCACACGAUUCCCGGCUACGGCUCCUCGUGGCUUGGUUUCCGUCUGCAGACAGCAACUAGCGCACACGGCACCUGCAGGGCAGCUCUCUUCAGAUGGACCCGCCUGCCCUGUGAUCCAUAUCAUUCCCCCCAUAACGGGUUUUCAGACAGACUGAUGAAUGUGCCAAGCGCUCUCACCGAAAAAACAACCCCCCCCCCCCCCGGCUCAAUGGGCUGCUCGCUCGACCCUCGCAGCGCCACAUGAUUACUGAGCUCCUUUACCGAUCAAUACGGAUCAAUGCAGUGUGCUGCUCUUGGCUGGAGGAGAGGGAGGGGAGGACGAAGGACACUCACAGAGGAGCAACGUGGAUUAAAACACGUGGAAAUGAAAUAAGUGACAUAAUUACUUCACUGCACUCAGAGGAUCGUUGAGAAGUUUUGAUUAAGCUUCUUUCAUUCAGGAAUGUUUUGCAAGAAAUGUCUUGCUGCUGCAACAGGCUACCUUCACAUGAUGUGAUGCCCGUUUCUUCUUGGGGGGGGGUUUAGAGCUUGAAUGGUGCCGUUUGGUGUCUGCGUCACUAACCAUUAAGCACAAAGGGCCUCCGUGGCACUCGAGCAGAGCUUGACUCGGAGUUUCGUCACCUGAAUGAAGACACACGACAAACUGGCACUCAAACCGCCUGCAGCGUUGCCGCCUUCAACUCGCGGCAGACGAGGCGACACACAAAGGGCCGUCGGGGGACAUUCGGGGGUUUGCACAGUCUCGCCUCUGAAAGAGACGUCUCCGUUUGACAGCUCGUGACAGGUCUCGUCCCUCCCCCGGUCUACGCGCUCAGGUCUCACUCGCCUGCACACAGCGUUACACUCAGCGUAUGGAGCCAGGAGCGCGUGCACACGCGUGCACGCCUGCACACACACGCGCUCCAUCUCUCUCGCACACACACACACACACACACACACACGAACUAGCAAGGUGGGAGGAGUCAGCGGUAAAAGACUUGUAAUUUGUGUUUUGCCAACAAAGGCCGGCUAAUCCUGCAGGGGGGCUUUGUCGCAGCUGCUAUUGUGUGUUUGUGUGGUGUGUGUGUGUGUGUGUGCGAGUGGGGGAGAGGCAGAAAGAGAGAGGAGGUGUGAGAGGGGAGGGGGGGAGGGAUGGGUGAGGAAUGAAAAUGUGAGGGAGAGAGAAAAGUGAGUCUUCUUUUUAUUUAUUUCAAAUCUGUGUGAGAGUGUGCGUCGCUCUUUGUCCCAGCUGUGUGUGCACAUCUGCGGGGGGGGGGGGGGGGGGGGGGGGGGAGUGGGAGUGUGUAUUCGUCGCCUCCCCCUCCUGCGGUUUUCUGCAUGACAGAGCUCAUUUUAGGCCCCGCCUCCUUCUCUCCCCAUGGCCGCUGCUCCCCGGGCCGGGCUGAGACCUCUGCUCCUCCGGCGGCCCAUGGAGCCGAAGGGUCGCGG